AUAAUUUAGAUAUAACGUUCAGUGAUACGUAGCUCCGUUGCAAGUAUAAAAGAUGCUAUUAUUUCUCUUGCAAAGAGGUAACAAGGCAUUUACUUUGAAUCUUGAUGGAUUAAUGACUGGAACGUUAGAAAACGCUGCUACGUUGAUGAGUACCGCAAUAUCGUAUUUCACUCUUCUAUAUUCUAUGCAAAAUUAACACAAAACUGAUCAAUUAAGCGUAUAGUAAAAUAAUGAUAAAGAAGAAACUAAUUAAUCGCAAAUUAUAUGCCAUAAUCUAUACAAACAAUGAGGUGAUUGAUAAUUUCUAUGAAAUGUAAGGACUAACUUUUAAUUCUAUAGGAAAAUACAAAAGGCAAUAAGUACAAAGCACUAAACAGUUGAUAAUUCUCUGAAGAGGCAAACGUAACUUAAGACAGCACGCACUAGAAUGAGGAACGUUGAAACAUGUUACAUUGGAAGGGAUAAAAAUACACAUGCGCAGUUCACUGCCGCACAAGUCCCUCCACAAAGUUCUUUUUUCUGGAAAAUAAACAUCUGUUACAUUA